CGCGUAGGCGGCCUGUUAAGUCAGAUGUGAAAGCCCCGGGCUCAACCUGGGAAUGGCAUUUGAUACUGGCGGGCUGGAGUCUGAUAGAGGGGGGUGGAAUUCCAGGUGUAGCGGUGAAAUGCGUAGAGAUCUGGAGGAACACCAGUGGCGAAGGCGGCCCCCUGGAUCAAGACUGACGCUGAGGUGCGAAAGCGUGGGGAGCAAACA
rnacentral:rRNA from 1 species